rnacentral:rRNA from 1 species
GAGUUUGAUCAUGGCUCAGAUUGAACGCUGGCGGCAGGCCUAACACAUGCAAGUCGAGCGGUAGCACAGAGAGCUUGCUCUCGGGCGACGAGCGGCGGACGGGUGAGUAAUGUCUGGGAAACUGCCUGAUGGAGGGGGAUAACUACUGGAAACGGUAGCUAAUACCGCAUAAUGUCGCAAGACCAAAGUGGGGGACCUUCGGGCCUCAUGCCAUCAGAUGUGCCCAGAUGGGAUUAGCUAGUAGGUGGGGUAACGGCUCACCUAGGCGACGAUCCCUAGCUGGUCUGAGAGGAUGACCAGCCACACUGGAACUGAGACACGGUCCAGACUCCUACGGGAGGCAGCAGUGGGGAAUAUUGCACAAUGGGCGCAAGCCUGAUGCAGCCAUGCCGCGUGUGUGAAGAAGGCCUUCGGGUUGUAAAGCACUUUCAGCGGGGAGGAAGGCGAUAAGGUUAAUAACCUUGUCGAUUGACGUUACCCGCAGAAGAAGCACCGGCUAACUCCGUGCCAGCAGCCGCGGUAAUACGGAGGGUGCAAGCGUUAAUCGGAAUUACUGGGCGUAAAGCGCACGCAGGCGGUCUGUCAAGUCGGAUGUGAAAUCCCCGGGCUCAACCUGGGAACUGCAUUCGAAACUGGCAGGCUAGAGUCUUGUAGAGGGGGGUAGAAUUCCAGGUGUAGCGGUGAAAUGCGUAGAGAUCUGGAGGUAUACCGGUGGCGAAGGCGGCCCCCUGGACAAAGACUGACGCUCAGGUGCGAAAGCGUGGGGAGCAAACAGGAUUAGAUACCCUGGUAGUCCACGCCGUAAACGAUGUCGAUUUGGAGGUUGUGCCCUUGAGGCGUGGCUUCCGGAGCUAACGCGUUAAAUCGACCGCCUGGGGAGUACGGCCGCAAGGUUAAAACUCAAAUGAAUUGACGGGGCCCGCACAAGCGGUGGAGCAUGUGGUUUAAUUCGAUGCAACGCGAAGAACCUUACCUGGUCUUGACAUCCACAGAACUUAGCAGAGAUGCUUUGGUGCCUUCGGGAACUGUGAGACAGGUGCUGCAUGGCUGUCGUCAGCUCGUGUUGUGAAAUGUUGGGUUAAGUCCCGCAACGUGCGCAACCCUUAUCCUUUGUUGCCAGCGGUUAGGCCGGGAACUCAAAGGAGACUGCCAGUGAUAAACUGGAGGAAGGUGGGGAUGACGUCAAGUCAUCAUGGCCCUUACGACCAGGGCUACACACGUGCUACAAUGGCAUAUACAAAGAGAAGCGACCUCGCGAGAGCAAGCGGACCUCAUAAAGUAUGUCGUAGUCCGGAUUGGAGUCUGCAACUCGACUCCAUGAAGUCGGAAUCGCUAGUAAUCGUAGAUCAGAAUGCUACGGUGAAUACGUUCCCGGGCCUUGUACACACCGCCCGUCACACCAUGGGAGUGGGUUGCAAAAGAAGUAGGUAGCUUAACCUUCGGGAGGGCGCUUACCACUUUGUGAUUCAUGACUGGGGUGAAGUCGUAACAAGGUAACCGUA